CGUCCGAAUACUUUUAGUUUUCGCACUCUAACUUUAGUAAAAGUGAAUGGAAAUCUAUGAAAUUUUAACACAAGGUUUAUGACCACAAAAGGAAGGUCGGUAUUGAUUUUGGGAGUUUUGGUCCCAACAUUUUAGGAAUUAGGGGCCAAAAAGGGCCCAAAUAAGCAUUUUCUUGGUUUUCGCACUAUAACUUUAGUUUAAGUUAAUAGAAAUCUAUGAAAUUUUGACACAAGGUUUAUGACCACAAAAGAACGGUUGGGAUUGAUUUUGGGAGUUUUGGUUUCAACAGUUUAGGAAUUAGGAGCCAAAAAAGGGCCCAAAUAAGCAUUAUUCUUGGUUUUCGCACAAUAACUUUAGUUUAAGUAAAUAGAAAUCAAUGAAAUUUAAACACAAUGUUAAUGACUACAAAAGGAAGGUUGGUAUUGAUUUUGGGAGUUUAGAUCCCAACAGUUUAGGAAUUAGGGGCCAAAAAGGGACCCAAAUAAGCAUUUUUCUUGGUUUUCGCACCAUAACAUUAGUAUUAGUAAAUAGAAAUCUAUGAAAUUUAAACACAAGGUUUAUGACCAUAAAAGGAAGGUUGGUAUUGAUUUUGGGAGUUUUGGUCCCAACAGAAUAAGGGGCCCAAAGGGUCCAAAUUAAACUUUGUUUGAUUUCAUCAAAAUUGAAUAAUUGGGG
rnacentral:lncRNA from 1 species